UACAGAGGUCUCAAGCGUUGUUCGGAUUCAUUGGGCGUAAAGGGUGUGUAGGUGGCGCGCUAAGUCGGGUGUGAAAUUUCGGAGCUUAACUCCGAAACUGCAUUUGAUACUGGUGUGCUUGAGGACUGGAGAGGAGACUGGAAUUCAUGGUGUAGCAGUGAAAUGCGUAGAGAUCAUGAGGAAGACCAGUGGCGAAGGCGGGUCUCUGGACAGUUCCUGACACUGAGGCACGAAGGCCAGGGGAGCAAACGGG
rnacentral:rRNA from 1 species